ensembl:lncRNA
CUCCCAGGGGCCUGUUAAAUGUUAGAUGAGACCUGGGGUCAGUGUUGGCCAACAUCUGUAACUGAGCAGAAACCUCCGUCCUUGUUUGGAGAGCUAAGCUGCGAGGCACAUGGCGUCCAGAUGAGAGAGGCAGCAAGUCGAUGGAUUGCUGAGGCAGUGAGUUUCAAAGAUUCCAUGAUGCUGGCAACCAGUUAUAUUUCCCCGGAGGAAUCAGGGCCACUGACUCUCCCAGGAUGUGUCAGUCUCUUGCCUGAGAGAACAUCAUCUAUCUCAAGCACAAACAGGAGCGCUGGUCUUCCUGGAGGCUAAGUGACUGCUCCUGUUCACCGUCACGGAGGAGCCAAGGACCUUCCUGGGCUUUCCUGCUGGCAAUGACUCUGAAGAACCCAUUUUCCUCCUCCAGCGGUGACACAUGCCCUUCCUACAGAUACUGGGGAGGGAGCUGGAGUCUCCCCCUCCCCUUCUCUGUCAUCUGUAUCCACGAAGACUUCUUGGUCAUGUGUGAAGCAAACCUGCCCCAAACUGCAAUAUACACAGAGGACACACACAGGCUCCUUUGACCCACAAGGGGCAGGUUGGAUCAGGGCUGAAGUGACGCCAUCAGA